rnacentral:lncRNA from 1 species
GUAAAGUGACAUUUAAAAUAAGACUCAAAAAGCAAGCAAACAUAGUUAUGAAAAGAUUUUAUUUUUAAAUGAGUUUUCAAUUCUACCCUUGCCACCCCACUAAGUAGUUGCAUGAUAAAAUUUCACUGUUGCCUUUUUAUAACUCCAGUUAUCCUUCUUGUGCCUAAACUAUGCCCUUGCUGUAAAUUAGACAUUUUCAAAAGAUAUUUUCACUCAUUCUUUUCUCCACAUUCCUAUUUAGCACACUAGCAGUAAUGCGUCUUCAAAAAAAAUUAUUCAAUCAGAGCAUAAUACAAUUUAUUACUUCCUCAUAUUAAAUGAGCUGACACCCUGAUGAUCAUUGAGAUUCAAAACAAUUUCCAAAGCUUCUUAAUUUACAGCACAGUCUAGUUAAAGCUUUGGGGGAAUCUGGUCAUAUAACAUUUGUUGUGCUAUCUGUCCAAUGAAGGAUGAAUCUCCAGAUACACUGAGCACAUGACCAUGUGAUUUGUCCACUCACCACAGUGGCCAGAGAUGCAAAAAUACCAUUAUUAGUUCAGAGACUGGAACAGUUCUCUGCACUAAGAUACUUUUCAUGUUUAUUACACUGUUUCACCUUCUGUAUAAUUUAAUAUUCAAGCUGUGUAAGCCUAAAUAGCUCAGCACAGCUGGUGUGGUGUCUCGUUAUUUCUCACUUUUCCUCUUAUCUGUGCAAUUUUAAUAAUUGGGAGCCUAAAACUGUUAUGGUAAAAGGAUAAAAUUAUUCAAGAAAUUCACAUACUUGGCACAUAGUCAGUGAGAAGCUUAAAUCAAUUUUCUUGAACUGUCAGCCAUGAUGUAGAUCUAAAUGGAAAGCUAGAGUUUAGUCAGAUUCAUUGCUUAUUGUUUGCCUCUGCAAUUAUGAAAUAUGAAGGUUGGUAAGGGUUGUUCAAUGUAUUUUAUUUUUUUCCAAUUUGAAUGGCUCUGGUAAGUUAUAAAUAUUUUGCAAUUUAAUCAUAGAAAUAAUAUCCCUUUUUUAUUUAAAGAAAUACACAUUAAAAUGUUUUCCUGUUUUUGUUAGGGAAAGAAGCAAUAAGUUAAAUCAAACUGCACAGUUUUACCUUGACCUCUCAGCCUCAGCAAUAUGCUUUCUCAUAUUUGAUUCAACUAAAUGCAAUGUCUAUGCAGCUCCAGAUUUAAAAUAUGAAUGUUAGAAUAUAGUCUUUCUUUGUUCUACAGUGACUUAUUUAGAUUGAUAUCUUAGCAUUUUUCAUCCAGAUGCUUUUUUUGUGAUAAAGAAUUAAAACUUGUAUUUUUAUAAGUACAAGUUUGUUUACAGAAAAAGUUGAACACCUUGUGGAAAAUAGAAAGAUUUCAUAUUGGAUAAAUCUCAUUCAAAGUUAAUACUACACAUUUCUAUUCACUGCUUCCUAAUUCUAAAAUGAAACUGUCCAUUAGGAAAUAUUGCAAAGGCUAACUGUUUAUAUUGAAGUGCAGAAAAUUGCCGCUUUUUCCUUUUUAAGUUGUAUAACAGAACAUAGUUUUUCUGUUUUUUUGCUUUUUUUUUUAAACUGCCUACAACAAUCAUGUAUUGUCUAGGUGUCUAGGUAAUUGUCAUUUGGCGUCAUUUUAAUUUAAAUUUUAGAUGAGCAAAUUAGUAGCAUUUUGAAGAGGGGGGACAUCUCAUCACAUUCUUAUUCUCACAUUGAAAAUGACUCCAUUUAGCUCAGUCCACUGGGUAUUAAUUCAGUAACUGAAAUAUAGCAAUGUAGGAUGACAUUGUUUCAUGGGUGUGCCUCCGAGUGGAAUCCUAGACAAAGUGAUCUGCAUUUUACCUUUCUUCUUUAAUUUUGGCCCACACAAGCAAAGCCUACAUCUCUCACAGGACAGCACUCCAGAUUUCUUUAACUACCUAUCAUCUCAGGUAUUUCCUUUCUCUUUAACUUCUGAAUUAUUUAGAGACAUGAGCCAGUUUGUGAAAAGAACUGUCUUUUAGCUGUUCUUUGGAUAAGGAAAUUAUUUUUAUAAAUGUAAAAGUGACUUUUGUGAGCAAAGCUUCAGUGAAGUUCUGUAUAGUGCAGUCAUCUUUCCUGACUCACGCUACUGCUGUUGAUUUGUUUUUUUCUUGAGGCAGAGUCUCACUCUGCAGACUACACAAAUUGGUAUCACGUCAGAGUCACCUUCUAUUAUAAAGACACAGAGUGAAUAUUUCUACAUUGUUCUUUGCAUCACCAGCCACUACUAUGGAGGAUGUAUUUUGUAGGCUGAGACCAGGUUAUGUGCUGUGCUCCAUGUACAAGAAACGAUAGGAAAUGAAUCAGAGUUCCUGUUGCUCCAGAUUCUCAAGAACAUAUGAUGUCAUCAGUGUUUUAGGUUUUGGUCAUUACAACAGGCAUUAUUGGCAAGUGGAAUGAGAACAAGAAGAGAUCCAAGGCUGAAUUCUGCAGUUUUUGGCUUCAUUCCAACUUGAAUUUAUAUAGAAUAUUUUCAAUCUGUGGUUGGUUGAAUCCACAGAUGCAAAACCCACAGACGUGAGGGCUGAUUCUACGUGCAAACUGGCCACAAAAGUCCUGGCUGUCUUCAAAGCUGCAUCCUAACGAGGGCAGAGUACCUGGUACAAUGAAUCUGAUUGUAAUUUACAAGAAAAUCACCUCUACUGCCUACAAUAUGUUACCUCAUUUGUUUCCCAGUUCCUAAUUUGUACCCUUAGAUUCUUAGACCAUAAAGUAUUUCCUGAAGGAAUAGAGGGCUCCAAGUGGGAUGAUUUGAGUAGUUCAUUUUGGUGGCUUUUGUUAUGGAAAUAUGUGAGGAUGGUUGAACUUUAGUACUGAUUUUUCAUUCACAUGACAAGAAUGCCUACAUAAAUCAUGUUGCUCUCCCAUUUAAGUAAUUACUAGGUUUGAAGCCAGUUAAAACAAAUGAUAGAAGAUAUUUUAGGUUAAACAACAUGGUUUUGCUUUCAUUGACAUCAACCAUAAUAGGCCUAAAAAUAUAAGUGCAGAAAAGCAUGUUAGUAUCUUUUAUUUCUUUCAAGUAUAUUCAUUUAGUUGACUUUUUCAAAUAUAUUUUAGCUUAUUUUGCCUUCUGAUAAGAAUAGGACAAUUGAAGAAAAGGUUUUCUCACUUCCUUAACAUUAUGAAAGAAUUUUAUUUUGGAAUUGCCUGAGAGGUAAAUGGAAAAUAUGCUCAGUUGGCCCAAAUUCUUUAUUAAACAACAUUAUAAGUGAAAAUCUGUUUUCCCUGCUAUUAUCUGAGUGCUAUGCUUAAAGAAACAAAUAAACAUCCUGACAGUUGACAGACAGGAAAUAUGUUUUGUUUCCUUUUUUAUUCCGGCUUCAUUAUUUUCCAUGGAGAUGGAUUCUUGAAGCGACAGGCUGUGUUCAUUUCAGUUCAACUGUUCAUUGACUUAUGCAACAUAUCAAAUUCCUUACCAAAGUGAAAAAAAAAAAAAGCAGAAUGAAAUUUAGCUAUGAUUCAACCAGAGAAAUUUACAUGUUGGGCAAGGAUUCUUGUUAUUUAAAGAUAAAGGCAUUUUUGAAAGUCCACUGAAAAAUGGCUAAAAUUUUUCUAAUUCUGGUUUGGUGAUAUAUCCUAUUAAUCUGCCACCACUUAUUAAUGGCACUCAUAAUUUAAAGCCCUCUAACACUGGCACCUCACAUCUCAUUAAGGUAUCUCCUCCCAUUCUUCCUGCAAACAUGACAUUUAGGAGACCAUUAUAUGACUU